GCGCACCUGUCUGCUCUCACCUGUCCGCGCGCAGGUAUCAGCGGACAGGUGAGAGCAGACAGGUGAAGC